rnacentral:lncRNA from 1 species
CGCCCCUCCUGCUCCCGGCUUUCAUGUGGAUCAAGGCUGGAGGAUGACAAGCUCCUGACUGAUAGAUACAUGGAGACUUCGCUGGUGAUUUAUUGGCUUUCUGCACCUGACGAGAACCACUAGGCCUAUCUGAGGAGGGAAAUAUAUGGGCUUUCCUGACUCCAAGUGGCAGCCCCGGGGCGAGCAUGUGAUGUCAAGCUGGGCAGAGGAAAGCGGAGCUGUGCACCGGCCUGUGUACUGUAAGCCGGCCCGGGUCGUAAAAGUGUCAGCACGCGAUAUAUUUCUUGCAGGGGAUCCUCUCUGGCUCUUGCCAGCGCCUCUCCCCCGUGGCUGGCAGCCGCCCUAGCCGGGCCUGCAAACAGCGGAUGCCCCAGGUCGCUAUCCCUCCGCCCUGCCCCGGAGCGCCGGGCCCUCACGUUCUCGCUCCAGCCUGGGGUCUCUCACGUGGCAUCUGGCCCUGGGGACGGUGCAGCGGAGGAGUUAAUUGCUGUCACUCCUGACUUCAGCGAAAGAGGCUUCUUCCUCGGGGUUAGCAGGGGCCUGGAGUGGAUGUUUAGUCUACCGGUCAGACUCCAGGUCUUAUAUCUUGAAACUGUAAGUCCCUGAAUUCACAGACAAUUCAGAGUAAGGAUGGAGGCAAAGAAGAGGACCUUGGGUUUACUGUUCACGAGAUGACCUCAUAAAGGUGUUCAGUGAUGAAGAGGAGUGGCUGAAGAGAUGGCUGUCUAGAGUCAACACAAACCUACCCCAAAGUUUGACCUUUGCCUUAAGUCAGUAACUGAGGAGGGCCACGGUCCUGAGUUCAGUCCAGACCCCAGGAAGAUUCAGAGCCUGCAGUUGUCCUCUGGUUUCUAAAGUAUGUUAUUGGGCUAAAGAUUUCAAGACAUUUAUCCUUCUUUGCUUUCUAUCGCAGCCAUUAAAUGUUUUAGAUAUUUUCUGCCAGAAGGCAGGAAUCAUGAAGAUAACAAAUAUUAAAGACAAAACCAAAUAACUUUUAAUGAGAAGGUCAGUCCGUGGUUUGAGUCUUUGGAAAGAAAUCAAGAACUCUGACUAUACUUGCUAUUUGACCAUUGAUUCUCUAGUGGAAAUGGGCAAAUCUUUUAUACCAGGGCAAAUUUUUCAGUAACGGGCCAGACAGCAAAUAUUUUAGGAAUUGUGGGCCAUACAGUCUCUCUCCCAACUACUUAACUCUUCAGCAUAGCAUAAAAGCAGCCAUAAACAAUACUACAACAAGUAUGGCUGCAUUCCAAUAAAACUUUAUUUACAAAAAUAGGCAGCACGCCAGAUUUGGCCCACAAGCUAUAGCUUUCUGACCCCUGCUUUGCCAAACUCAAUAACAAACAGAGAGGGAGACUCUUUUAAAAAAAUUAUAUUCAUUUGGGAGUAGCAUUGCAAUGGGAAUACGUGUGCCAUAGCAAAUUAUGAGCGUAUUCAAAGAGAUUGGGGCAAGGGGAAGUUUAUAAAGGCAAAACGAAGAGGAUUACAAUUGUUCAAAUCAAUUAUCCUUGGCUACAAGGGUGGCACAAGUCCAAGCUUGAACAGGCAGUUGCUAGACAGACAUCCUUACAGAAGUAUUUUCUGUGUAAGGUUGCAGUGGUCUUUUUGCAAAGCUAUAGUAAAUCACAGGGGUCAGUACAACCGUAGUGCAAUGGAUAAGCCUUGCCCUCGGAAAAUCUUCGUGAUCAUGGUAUCUCCCCUGCCAAAUAAAUAUUGUGACAGUUCUUAUCAGGCAUUCAUGUGUAAGAACUCUCCCUUGAUGGCCUUCCCUGGCUCCAUUUGCCAGGGUUUUAACAUAAAUUACUCCAUUUUGAUUCGGACAACUUUCAUAACUGCUUACCAUCUGUGCCUCUGUGUAUAAAAGUGGACAUACUAAAAUUUUUCCUUAGGGCUACAACUAAACAUCCAGCCUAGCCCUUAGCCAGCACCAAGGAAGAGGCCUGGGGGAUAGAGGAACAAAUAAUGAGACCAAGUCAGGCCAUCCCCCAUGGGGUGAGGCCUGCAGGUAGGUGGGCCCAGUGUGGUGUACCUCUAGCACAGUGCCUGGCACAAAAUUGCAGUUUAUUUUCUGAAUAAAUAACUCUUGGAUCAAUUGGUUGCUCUCUGGGAAUGUGACUUUGCUGUUGAGUUGUGCAGAGUACUCUCUGUCUCCAAGCCAAUCCCAGCUUCAGUAUCUCACCCCACAAUCCACAUUUCCCAGUGUCUGGAGUAACAACAAUGACCUGGGGCUGGGCUCUCAGCAAGUCAAACCCUGCCUCAACAAACCCAAACUGCUUUGGGGACCAAUGUGAUGCAAAUGUGUACUGAAUCCCCUGAAUUCCCCCUGGUGAUCCUGUCCUGUAACAGGCCCUCCCCAUCCCCUCAGGCCAGUGCAUUCAGGAAAUCAGUGACCACAGGAUGGUUUCUCAGCUGGAGGGAAGGUCAGCCUGCAUCUGAGCAUCUUAGAACAUGUUAUUUUGUUCCCACUGGUCAAUCCCGUCCAAGCUGUACACAUAGUGCCUAAGCCACGUUUGUUACUGCAGGCCUGUCUUCGGAAAGGUCACUGAACAGAAGGAGGAGGCACCUUACUCUCUUUUGUUACGUCUUCACCACUUUUGUCUAAAGGGAAGUUUAGCUGGAGGGCUGAGCACGCAGACAGGUUUCUGACUGUGCCACAUAGAUCCCACAUUGCUUCUCUGCCAUGAUUUAUCAUCUGUGACUUGACAUGUUCUGCACACACGGGCAUGUUGUACACAUUGAGACAUGCUUCCUGCAUUCAAAGAUUUUCCCAUAUUGAGGGCAUUUUCCUGGUGCAGAAUUGAAGACUGAAUUGAGGCAUUCAGAUUGACCUCAACAUCUACGGGUCUGGAGGAGGUUUGGGACGUUUCCUUUUCUUCUCUUCAGGGGCCCACUCCUGUUGUAAAGAGCAGCAGCAUUUAUAAUGAGGGCCCAGGAAAUGCGGGGGAGAGGGGAGAGCCUGCUAUCUCUGCAGUGGGUGACUGUUGUUUCCCUGAUCAACAAUGUAUCAUAUCCCAGCCUAAGCCUGCCUUUCUCCUUCCCCCUCCACAUGGGGAGGGGCCGUGGGCUCAGAGCUCACCUGGAAUGCCUCUGGUUGCUGAAGGGCUGGAUGGAGACUCUGAGACAACCUGAUGGAUCAUCUCAUAAACAGAGCCUGCAGGAAGGAAAAGAAAAUUAUGCCAGCAUAAUGCACUUACGAGAAAUAGAUACGUGCGGUGCAGGGAGAAAUGCUUUGAUAUUAAAAUUUUUGUAACUUAAAAAGGCAUGAAAAAUGAUACCGACCACUAACUAAUCAACAUUCCUUUGCGAAUACAGCUUCAGUUCCUAACCAAAAACACAUCCCUGCUAUUGUCUUGUCUGGAUCCAGAUGCAAACAUGAUUAAUUAAGUUUCUGGUGAGGAGUGGGACGAGGGCAGUGGGAACUGAUGGCUUGCUGAGGAUCCUUUUCAUAUACAGGCCUGGGGAGAAUCCCUUAGUCUGGGUGCCUAUUUCCCUCCACAUGUCAGGGCUUACCCCGUGCACUGACAGCCACGGGGGCAGUGAGUAGGCUGCAGCCAGACCCAUGGAGUGAGGCAGUGAGAGGCUGAAAGGAGAGGCUCUACAGACAGUACAGGGAGGCUCUUGGUAUCUCCCAUUGCCACUGCACAGCACAGCACGGCAGAGUAGCAAACGCAUAUGCCAUGUCUUGUUGGGAGACCUGGGCCCUGCUCCAGACUGCUACCAAGUAGUUUGGGACCUUGGAUGAGCUGCCUCAAUUUCUCCAUUUGUGAAAUUGGGAGGUGACAGCGUGCUGGCAGCCCUCGCAGCCCUCGCUCUCGGCCUUGGUGCCUGCCUACUCUGGCCGCCCUUGAGGAGCCCUUCGGCCCACGGCUGCACUGUGGGAGCCCCUUUCUGGGCUGGCCAAGGCUGGAGCCAGCUCCCUCAGCUUGCCGGGAGGUGUGGAGGGAGAAGCGCGGGCAGGAACCAGGGCUGCUCAUGGGGCUUGCCGGCCAGCGCGAGUUCUGGGUGGGCAUGGGCUCAGUGCCUGCGCACUCUGAGCGGCCGGCAGGCCUGCGAACCCCGGGCAGUGAGGGGCUUAGCUCCUGGGCCAGCAGCUGCUGUGCUCAAUUUCUCGCCGGGCCUUAGCUGCCUCCCCGCGGGGCAGGGCUCGGGACCUGCAGCCCACCAUGCCUGAGCCUCCUCCCGCCGUGGGCUCCUGUGUGGCUGGAGCCUCCCCGAGGAGCACCGCCCCCUGCUCCACCGCUCCCAGUCCCUCAACCACCCAAGGGCUGAGGAGUGCGGGCGCAUGGCACGGGACUGGCAGGCAGCUCCACCUGCGGCACCGGUACCGGAUCCACUGGGUGAAGCCAGCUGGGCUCCUGAGUCUGGUGGGGACUUGGAGAACCUUGGUGUAGACACUCUGUAUCUAGCUAAUCUAGUGGGGAUGUGGAGAACUUUUGUGUCUAGCUAAGGGAUUGUAAAUACACCAGUCGGCACUCUGUAUCUAGCUCAAGGUUUGUAAACACACCAAUCAGCACCCUGUGUCUAGCUCAGGGUUUGUGAAUGCACCAAUGGACACUCUGUAUCUGGCUACUCUGAUGGGGACUAGGAGAACCUUUGUGUCUAGCUCAGGGAUUGUAAACGCACCAAUCAGCACCCUGUCAAAACGGACCAUUCAGCUCUCUGUAAAACAGACCAAUCGGCUCUCUGUAAAAUGGACCAAUCAGCAGGAUGUGGGUGGGGCCAGAUAAGAGAAUAAAAGCAGGCUGCCCCAGCCAGCAGGCACAACCCUCUCGCCUCACCUGCCGCAGUGUGGAAGUUUUGUUCUUUGGCUCUUUGCAAAAAAUGUUGCUGCUGUUCACUCAUUGGGUCUACACUACCUUUAUGAGCUGUAACACUCACUGGGAAGGUCUGCAGCUUCACUCCUGAAGCCAGCGAGACCACGAACCCACCGGGAGGAACAAACAAUUCCAGACGCGCCGCCUUAAGAGCUGUAGCAGUCACGGCCGGGCACGGUGGCUCACGCCUGUAAUCCCAGCACUUUGGGAGGCCGAGACGGGCGGAUCACGAGGUCAGGAGAUCGAGACCAUCCUGGCUAACACGGUGAAACCCCGUCUCUACUAAAAAUACAAAAAAAAUUAGCUGGGCAUGGUGGCGCACGCCUGUAGUCCCAGCUACACGGGAGGCUGAGGCAGGAGAAUGGCGUGAACCCGGGAGGCGGAGCUUGCAGUGAGUCGAGAUCGCGCCACUGCACUUCAGCCUGGGCGACAGAGCGAAACUCCGUCUCAAAAAAAAAAAAAAAAAAGAGCUGUAGCAGUCACAGCAAAGGUAUGCAGCUUCACUCCUGAGUCAGCGAGACCAGGAACCCACCACAAGGAAGAAACUCCGAACACAUCCGAACAUCAGAAGGAACAAAUUCUGGACACGCUGCCUUUAAGAACUGUAACACUCAGCGCGAGGGUCCCCUGCUUCAUUCUUGAAGUCAGUGAGACCAAGAACCCACCAAUUCCAGACACAAAAGGAGAGGUUGGAUUAAAUGUUCCUCAAAGUCUUCCAUUUCUGGCUUUUUAUUCCAGUGCCCAAAGUCCUUCACACAAAGCA